AAGUCGUAACAAGGUUUCCGUAGGUGAACCUGCGGAAGGAUCAUUAACACGUAUCCAAACGUUAAAACCCCCCCCGUGAACAUUCAUCCUGCUCUUGUAACCCGCGAAGCUUGCAAUCUCUGGUAAAUCAUAGCCCGGAAAGUAGUUUUGAUUCAGAGACCUCUGGCCCGUGAGAUUCUUUGAGACGUUACAAUUUUGAGCGGUAGUUCUAUAGGCCUUGUUUCCCCAA
rnacentral:misc_RNA from 1 species